rnacentral:rRNA from 1 species
UACGGAGGGGGCAAGCGUUAUUCGGAAUUAUUGGGCGUAAAGGGUGCGUAGGCGGCUUGUCAAGUCGGGUGUGAAAGCCCCCGGCUUAACCGGGGAAUUGCGCCCUAAACUGACGAGCUGGAGUGGGACAGGGGUGUGUGGAACUUCCGGUGGAGCGGUGAAAUGUGUUGAUAUCGGAAGGAACGCCGGUGGCGAAAGCGACACACUGGGUCUCAACUGACGCUGAGGCACGAAAGCCAGGGGAGCGAACGGG